GUGCUUGCUUCAGCAGCAUAUAUACUAAAAUUGGAAUGAUACACAGAAAAUUAUCAUGACCCUUGUGCAAAGAUGACAUGGAAAUUUGUGAAACAUUCCAUAUUUUA
rnacentral:snRNA from 1 species